GUUCUCUGGACUGGGCUUCCCAACGACGUGGCCCAAGACCUGCCAUUUAUGUUUUUAUCUGUCCAAUAAGGAUGAUAUGAUUGUACCAUUGCCCUCACGCAGAGGUUUGAAGUGGCUGAAGAGGCAAGAGGCUUGAGCUGCGUUGCGGUUUGGGUCACCCUUCCUGCUUAACAAGCCCCUGCACCCAGUAGGGGCUGUGGCUACUCAACUCCAAGAGUCCUUGUGCAGCAGCGGGCUGUGAAGCUGGAGAGUUCGCAGUGGACAUUCCAGGAAGGUCCAUCCUGCCUAUCAUCACAUGUCCAGUGCAUAAGACUGUUCCUGACACAUACUAGACACUCCGUCAAUGUCUCUGGACUGAACAAAUGGUGAGAUUUGAUGCCAAAUGGAGUAGGAAAAAACUGCAACCCCAGCCGUCCCCAAAAGGGCGAACAUCUUAAAUCCAUAAGUCAUGCCAACUUUGAAGGUUUUAUUCAACGUUUGAAUCAUGCUCAAACUUGCAGACUUGACUUAGAGCUUAGAUGCUUCAUCUCCAAAGGAAGCUGGCCGUGGAGUAUAACAGGAAAUCUAGUAAGCAAUCUGGAGUUUUCCUCUAGAAAGUGCUGUGGUCUCAAAGUACAGUCCUGGUAUCUGGACACAACGCCACAAAGGUUGCGGCACAGAGGCGCUAAACCCCAUACUCUGAUGGUGUAG
rnacentral:lncRNA from 1 species